AGGCAUGAUCAUACCAACAUUCAUACACCUGAUCCCAUAAAAACUACUCAGUUAAGUGUGCUUGGGUGAAAAUAAUACUAGGAUGGUUGACAUCCUAGGAAGUCCUCGUGUAGUAUCCU
rfam:Lupinus angustifolius cultivar Tanjil chromosome LG02, whole genome shotgun sequence.